ensembl:snRNA U6 U6 spliceosomal RNA
GUGCUCGCUUCGGCAGCACAUAUACUAAAAUUGGAAGGAUACAGAGAAGAUUAGCAUGGCCCCCGCGCAAGAAUGAAUCUGAAUUAGCUAUGUACUCUCUCCAU